rnacentral:rRNA from 1 species
AUUGAACGCUGGCGGCAGGCCUAACACAUGCAAGUCGAACGGUAACAGGAAGCAGCUUUCUGCUUUGCUGACGAGUGUCGGGGGGGGGAGUGAUGUCUGUGAAACUGCCCGAUGGCGGGGGGUAACUCGUGGAAAAGGUAGCUAAUACCGCAUAACGUCGCAAGACGAAAGAGGGGGAGCUUAGGGGCUCUUGCCCUCUUGUGUGCGCAGAUGGGAUUAGCUAGUAGGUGGGGUAAAGGCUCACCAAGGCGACGAUCCCUAGCUGGUCUGAGAGGAUGAUCAGCCACACUGGAACUGAGACACGGUCCAGACUCCUACGGGAGGCAGCAGUGGGGAAUAUUGGACAAUGGGCGCAAGCCUGAUCCAGCCAUACCGCGUGGGUGAAGAAGGCCUUCGGGUUGUAAAGCCCUUUUGUUGGGAAAGAAAAGCAGCAGGUUAAUACCCCGCUGUUCUGACGGUACCCAAAGAAGAAGCACCGGCUAACUUCGUG